rnacentral:RNase_P_RNA from 2 species
CCAGGGGGCCGGGCAGCCGCGUCGGGAGCGAUCCCGCCGAGGAAAGUCCGGGCUCCACGAAACAAGGGUGGCGGGUAACGCCCGCCGGACGCAAGUUCAGGGAAAGUGCCACAGAGAGCAGACCGCUAACGGAGGCAACUCCGCAGCAAGGGUGAAAGGGUGCGGUAAGAGCGCACCGCGCGACUGGUAACAGAAGCGGCAAGGUAAACCCCACCCGGAGCAAGACCGAAUAGGGGCGGCGGGCCGGAGCGAUCCGGCAGAUCUGUUUCGGAUUUCAGCUUUCGGGCUGACGACCGCCCGGGUUGGUUGCUGGAGCGCACACGGCAACGUGUCGCCUAGAGGAAUGGCUGCCCCCGCCGAUACGGUUCCGCAUGGAAUACCGUCGGUGGGACAAAACCCGGCUUACAGGCCCCCUGGCAUC